rnacentral:sRNA from 1 species
GCCAGGCGCAGUGGCGCACACCUGAAAUCCAGCAGCUCGGAGGCUGAGGCAGGAGGAUCAAGAGUUCAAAGGCAGCCUCAGCAACAGCAAGAUGCUAAGCAACUCAGUGAGACCCUGUCUCUA